UAACAGCAAAAGCCAACCAGCCGGCAACAACAAUCAAAUUCAGUUGCUCUCUAUCGGGUCCGUGGAAAGUCCUGUUCUGGUCAUGUUUCCUCGAGCAUCUUUUUAAUUAAAAUUGAACAAACUUCAAACUAGUUCGCUAGUUAAACUAGGUUUAAUCUUCCUCCAGCCAGAAAUCGAUGUUGAUUCGUACAUCAGCAGAUUGCAGCAAAUUAUUUCAAGCGAAUGAUUAUUUCGUCGAAUUCAGCAACUUCUCGUGCGACAUCCAGCAUCGCUUAUAUUUUUCAGAAGUGCCUCCGAGUCCAAUUAUUCUGGUUAUCAAGGCAGCUCAGAAAUUGUAGAGGCAUCCCAAGGAAAAAGGAGAUAAAUAGAAUAUUUCUGCAAAAUGAUUGGAGGAAACGGCUGUAUCAAUAUUCUUAUAGAUGCGCGGCCCGACAAGUGGCCCGGAAGACUUUGCCUUAGCAGUAGUUUUAAGAGUUAAUCUCAGGCUUCAAAUAAUGAAAUAAAACCACAAAACUAA